rnacentral:rRNA from 1 species
AGCGAACGCUGGCGGCAGGCUUAACACAUGCAAGUCGAGCGCCCCGCAAGGGGAGCGGCAGACUGGAGACUACCACGUGGGAACAUACCUUUCGGUUCGGAACAACUGAGGGAAACUUCAGCUAAUACCGGAUAAGCCCUUACGGGGAAAGAUUUAUCGCCGAAAGAUUGGCCCGCGUCUGAUUAGCUAGUUGGUGAGGUAACGGCUCACCAAGGCGACGAUCAGUAGCUGGUCUGAGAGGAUGAUCAGCCUCACUGGGACUGAGACACGGACCAGACUCGUACGGGAAGCAGCAGUGGGGAAUAUUGGACAAGGGGGGCAACCCUGAUACAGCCAUGCCGGGUGAGUGAGGAAGGCCUUAGGGUUGUAAAGCUCUUUUGCCCGGGAAGAUAAUGACGGUACCGGGAGAAUAAGCACCGGCUAACUUCGUG